rnacentral:tRNA from 1 species
GCCGGUGUGGCGGAACUGGCAGACGCAGCGGAUUCAAAAUCCGCCGCCCCCUAAAGGCUUGCAGGUUCGAUUCCUGUCACCGGCA